rnacentral:lncRNA from 1 species
UGCAGCGAGCGCCAUCUCACUACAUCUGAAAGCCACAGCUCCUCUCUGUCCAGGGCUCUGCACAGCUGGCUCCUUCACCUCGGACCCUCUCUGCAGCCGUGUGGCCAUGGCCGUCCUAGGUGACCCUUGUGAAAGGGUUAUUCAACCAGCUAAGAGGUUGGGACCCACAAGUUGAGAACCGAUGCUCUAAGCCUUCGUGAUAGAACUUUCAAGUUCAAGAAAACCUGUCAGCUUCAUGAUAUCCUAAACUCUGCAAGGCUACCCUCAACUUGAAGAUCAUUAUAGUCAAGUUAGAGAACAGACACGCACUCGGAAGACUGCAUCUCAGUAACAACCACAGGUGGACCAGGGGUGUGGAUGUGAGCGCUCGAGCUUAUGGAAUCUUCAUGCCUUCGUCUGUAAAAUGGAUUGAUAACAUCUUCUUCUCUGGGUGGCAUCUUGCAUUGAUUACAUGAGAUUAUGUAUGGAAAGGACCUGGCUUAUAGCCUGGGAAUGGUGUGUGCUUAAUACACGAUAAUUACACUAAU